rnacentral:rRNA from 1 species
UGGCGAACGGGUGAGUAAUAUAUCGGAACGUACCCUAGAGUGGGGGAUAACGUAGCGAAAGUUACGCUAAUACCGCAUACGAUCUAAGGAUGAAAGUGGGGGAUCGCAAGACCUCAUGCUCGCGGAGCGGGCGAUAUCUGAUUAUCUAUUUGGGAGGGUAAAAGCCUACCCCGGCAUCGAUCACUAGCUGGGCUGAGAGGACGACCACCCACACUGGAACUGAGACACGGUCCACACUCCUACGGGAGGCAGCAGUGGGGAAUUUUGUACAAUGGGCGAAAGCCUGAUCCACCAAUGCCGCGUGAGUGAAAAAAGCCUUCGGGUUGUAAAGCUCUUUUGUCAGGGAAAAAACGGGGAGAGCUAAUAUCUCUUGCUAAUGACGGUACCUGAAAAAUAAACACCGGCUAUCUACAUGCCACCAGCCGCGGGAAUACAUAUGGUGCGAGCGUUAAUCGGAAUUACUGGGCGUAAAGCGUGCGCAGGCGGUUUUGUAAGUCUGAUGUGAAAUCCCCGGGCUCACCCUGGGAAUUGCAUUGUAGACUGCGAGGCUAUAAUCUGGGAGAGAGGG